rnacentral:rRNA from 1 species
CCCUUAGAUGUUCUGGGCCGCACACGCGCUACACUGAAGGAGGCAGCGUGUACUCCUGGAUCGAAAGAUUUGGGUAACCCGCGAAUCUCCUUCGUGCUAGGGAUUGAGGUUUGCAAUUAUCCUUCAUGAACGAGGAAUUCCCAGUAAGUGCAAGUCAUAAGCUUGCGCUGACUACGUCCCUGCCCUUUGUACACACCGCCCGUCGCUACUACCGAUUGAAUGAUUUAGUGGGGACUUCGGACUGGGACCGAUGCGGCUUUCGGGCUGCGUCGGUAUUCUGGAAAGAUGUCCAAACUGUAUCAUUUAGAGGAAGUAAAAGUCGUANCA